rnacentral:rRNA from 1 species
GACGAACGCUGGCGGCGUGCUUAACACAUGCAAGUCGAACGGUGACGGAGGAGCUUGCUCCUCCUGAUCGGUGGCGAACGGGUGAGUAACACGUGAGCAAUCUGCCCCUGACUCUGGGAUAACUGCGGGAAACUGUAGCUAAUACCGGAUACGACGCGCGAAGGCAUCUUCUGCGCGUGGAAAGAAUUUCGAUCAGGGAUGAGCUCGCGGCCUAUCAGCUUGUUGGUGAGGUAAUGGCUCACCAAGGCGACGACGGGUAGCCGGCCUGAGAGGGUGACCGGCCACACUGGGACUGAGACACGGCCCAGACUCCUACGGGAGGCAGCAGUGGGGAAUAUUGCACAAUGGGCGCAAGCCUGAUGCAGCAACGCCGCGUGAGGGACGACGGCCUUCGGGUUGUAAACCUCUUUUGGCAGGGAAGAAGCGAAAGUGACGGUACCUGCAGAAAAAGCACCGGCUAACUACGUG